CAAGAGUCCAUGUCGACGGCAGUGUUUGGCACCUCGAUGUCGGCUCAUCGCAUCCUGGGGCUGUAGCAGGUCCCAAGGGUUUGGCUGUUCGCCAAUUAAAGCGGUACGCGAGCUGGGUUUAGAACGUCGUGAGACAGUUCGGUCCCUAUCUGCCGUGGGCGUUUGAUAUUUGAGAGGAGUUGACCUUAGUACGAGAGGACCGGGUUGAACGUAUCUCUGGUGUUCCGGUUGUCACGUCAGUGGCAUCGCCGGGUAGCUAAAUACGGACGGGAUAACCGCUGAAAGCAUCUAAGCGGGAAGCCCACCUCAAGAUGAGAUAUCACGGAUCUUAAGAUCCCUAAAGAGCCCUUGUAGACAACAAGGUUGAUAGGCGCGAUGUGGAAGUGCAGUAAUGCAUGGAGCUAACGCGUACUAAUUGCUCGUGAGGCUUGA
rnacentral:rRNA from 1 species